rnacentral:rRNA from 1 species
AGAACGAACGCUGGCGGCAGGCUUAACACAUGCAAGUCGAGCGCCCCGCAAGGGGAGCGGCAGACGGGUGAGUAACGCGUGGGGAUAUGCCCAAAGGUGCGGAAUAACUCAGGGAAACUUGAGCUAAUACCGCAUGUGCCCGAAAGGGGAAAGAUUUAUCGCCUUUGGAUUAACCCGCGUCAGAUUAGCUAGUUGGUGAGGUAAUGGCUCACCAAGGCGACGAUCUGUAGCUGGUCUGAGAGGAUGACCAGCCACACUGGGACUGAGACACGGCCCAGACUCCUACGGGAGGCAGCAGUGGGGAAUAUUGGACAAUGGGCGCAAGCCUGAUCCAGCCAUGCCGCGUGAGUGAUGAAGGCCUUAGGGUUGUAAGCUCUUUCGACGGGACGAUAAUGACGGUACCCGUAGAAGACGCCCGGCUAACUUCGUGCCAGCAGCCGC